GUUGCAGACCAGUUACAACACCUUAACUCAAGAGAGAGACCAGCUACAGACCAGUUACAACACCCUGACUAAAGAGAGAGACGAGCUACAGACCAGUUACAACACCUUAACUCAAGAGAGAGACGAGCUACAGACCAGUUAUAACACCCUGACUGAAGAGAGAGACCAGCUACAGAACAGUCUCACCACAAGGACUGCUGAAAGGGAGAAAUUACAGAAUAGUCUUAACUCAAGGACCGCUGAGAGAGACCAGUUGCAGAAUAGUCUAAAUACCAGAACCACUGAGAGAGACCAGCUACAGACCAGUUACAACACCCUGACUAAAAAGAGAGACCAGUUACAGAAUAGUCUCACAACAAAAACUAAGGAGAAAGACCAGUUGCAGAAUACUCUCACCACAAUAACUCGGGAGAGAGACCAGCUACAGAAUAGUCUCACCACGAGGACCAAAGACAGGGACCAGCAGCAAAAUAGUCUUAAAGUUAUGACUGCUGAUAGGGAUCAAUUGAAGAAUAGUCUUAACUCACGGACCAAAGAGAGAGACCAGUUGCAGAAUAAUCUAAAUACUAGGAUCACAGAGAAAAACCAGCUACAGAACAGUCUCACAGCCAAAACUAAGGAGAAAGACCAGUUGCAGAAUACUCUCACCACAAUAACUCGGGAGAGAGACCAGUUGCAGAAUAAUCUAAAUACCACAACCACUGAGAGAGACCAGUUUAAAACCAGGCUUAGGUUCUAUGAGAAACCCUGUCUGGAUGGAUGGUGGAAGUUUGGCACCAGCUGUUAUUAUGUCUCCUCCACGAUGAACACAGCUGGGGGCGGUCAGAGGGAGUGCAGAACAAUGGGAGGAGAGUUGGUUAUUAUAAACAGCAGAGAAGAACAGAUAUUUAUCCAUGGAUUUAAGAAGAAUGUCUGGAUUGGUAUAUAUAAAAAGACAGAAUCUGGAAGUGGGUUGACGACACACCAUUUAAACCUACAUAUUGGAUGGAAGGGGAACCUAACAACUUGAAUGACGAGGCGGCUUGUGUUGAGAUCUCACAGACGGCAUCAGACCCACUGAAGAGUUGGAAGGAUGCAACAUGUACUCCAAAACACUGGGUGUGUGAAAAACCGUUCACACCGUAGUCUAAUUAUAGUAGCUACUGUAACCCCAUAUCUCAUGGAGUUGUUCUGGUUUUCCCUGUUAUUCUUAAGCUGUUUUUGUUUCUAUGUGUAACUAACUACAUUGAAAGAUGUAUUCCUGUCUUUAAAGAGACCAGAGCUAUGUGGAGUCUACCGUUCAUCAGGCCCAGGGGAGUGGAACUGGGGUCUCGUAGGCUCUAACUGUGGUUUACAUUUGUACCUAUAUGGUGUACAUAUACCAAUUUAACAAGAUACUGUUUCAUUUAAGUUUUUACAGCUAUCAAUCCAUUUGAAAUGCAGCAGUGUUCUGUUUGCUUCCAUUCUGUUCCAUAUGUUCCACGUGUUCAUUCUACUGAUUAAAUACAUCUAUAUACUGUGA